rnacentral:rRNA from 1 species
GACGAACGCUGGCGGCGUGCUUAACACAUGCAAGUCGAACGGAAAGGCCCUGCUUUUGUGGGGUGCUCGAGUGGCGAACGGGUGAGUAACACGUGAGUAACCUGCCCUUGACUUUGGGAUAACUUCAGGAAACUGGGGCUAAUACCGGAUAGGAGCUCCUGCUGCAUGGUGGGGGUUGGAAAGUUUCGGCGGUUGGGGAUGGACUCGCGGCUUAUCAGCUUGUUGGUGGGGUAGUGGCUUACCAAGGCUUUGACGGGUAGCCGGCCUGAGAGGGUGACCGGCCACAAUGGGACUGGGAUACCGCCCCGACUCCUUCGGGAGGCAGCAGUGGGGAAUAUUGCACAAUGGGCGGAAGCCUGAUGCAGCAACGCCGCGUGCGGGAUGACGGCCCUCGGGUUGUAAACCGCUUUCGCCUGUGACGAAGCGUGAGUGACGGUAAUGGGUAAAGAAGCACCGGCUAACUACGUG